rnacentral:rRNA from 1 species
UGGGGAAUAUUGGACAAUGGGGGGAACCCUGAUCCAGCCAUGCCGCGUGUGUGAAGAAGGCCUUAUGGUUGUAAAGCACUUUAAGCGAGGAGGAGGGUACUGGUAUUAAUACUACCAGGUACUGGACGUUACUCGCAGAAUAAGCACCGGCUAACUCUGUGCCAGCAGCCGCGGUAAUACAGAGGGUGCGAGCGUUAAUCGGAUUUACUGGGCGUAAAGCGUGCGUAGGUGGUUCGUUAAGUUGAAUGUGAAAGCCCCGGGCUCAACCUGGGAACUGCAUCCAAAACUGGCGAGCUAGAGUAGGGCAGAGGGUGGUGGAAUUUCCUGUGUAGCGGUGAAAUGCGUAGAUAUAGGAAGGAACACCAGUGGCGAAGGCGACCACCUGGGCUCAUACUGACACUGAGGUGCGAAAGCGUGGGGAGCAAACAGG